rnacentral:rRNA from 1 species
UACGUAGGGUCCAAGCGUUAGGCGGAAUCACUGGGCUUAAAGCGUGUGUAGGCGGAUCGUUAAGUGUCUUGUGAAAUCCCACGGCUCACCCGUGGAACUGCUGGGCAUACUGGCGAUCUUGGGCCAACUAGGGGCAACUGGAACAAGCGGUGGAGCGGUGAAAUGCGUAGAUAUCGCUUGGAACGCCGAAGGUGAAAACAGGUUGCUGGGGUUGUGCCGACGCUGAGACACGAAAGCCAGGGGAGCAAACGGG